rnacentral:miRNA from 1 species
AUGGAUGAAAGAAACAUUUUCGUUCCAGUGAAGAAAAGUAAGAAGGAGGAUUCAAAGAAGAAGAUGGCUUCUUCUUGAAUCCUCCUUCUUACUUUUCUUCACUGGAACGAAAAUGUUUCUUCAUAUUU